rnacentral:rRNA from 1 species
GACGAACGCUAGCGGCGUGCCUAAUACAUGCAAGUAGAACGCUGAAGAGAGGAGCUUGCUCUUCUUGGAUGAGUUGCGAACGGGUGAGUAACGCGUAGGUAACCUGCCUUGUAGCGGGGGAUAACUAUUGGAAACGAUAGCUAAUACCGCAUAACAAUGGAUGACACAUGUCAUUUAUUUGAAAGGGGCAAUUGCUCCACUACAAGAUGGACCUGCGUUGUAUUAGCUAGUAGGUGAGGUAAUGGCUCACCUAGGCGACGAUACAUAGCCGACCUGAGAGGGUGAUCGGCCACACUGGGACUGAGACACGGCCCAGACUCCUACGGGAGGCAGCAGUAGGGAAUCUUCGGCAAUGGGGGCAACCCUGACCGAGCAACGCCGCGUGAGUGAAGAAGGUUGUCGGAUCGUAAAGCUCUGUUGUAAGUCAAGAACGGGUGUGAGAGUGGAAAGUUCACACUGUGACGGUAGCUUACCAGAAAGGGACGGCUAACUACGUG